rnacentral:rRNA from 1 species
GAUGAACGCUGGCGGCGUGCCUAAUACAUGCAAGUCGAGCGAACAGACGAGGAGCUUGCUCCUCUCACGUUAGCGGCGGACGGGUGAGUAACACGUGGAUGACCUACCUAUAAGACUGGGAUAACUUCGGGAAACCGGGGCUAAUACCGGAUAACAUGUUGAACUGCACGGGUCAACAGAGAAAGAGGGGCUUCCGCUCACUUAUAGAUAGAUCCGCGCCGCAUUAGCUAGUUGGUAAGGUAACGGGUUACCAAGGCAACGAUGCGUAGCCGACCUGAGAGGGUGAUCGGCCACACUGGAACUGAGACACGGUCCAGACUCCUACGGGAGGCAGCAGUAGGGAAUCUUCCGCAAUGGGCGAAAGCCUGACGGAGCAACGCCGCGUGAGUGAAGAAGGUUUUCGGAUCGUAAAACUCUGUUAUUAGGGAAGAACAAAUGUGUAAGUAACUAUGCACGUCUUGACGGUACCUAAUCAGAAAGCCACGGCUAACUACGUG